GGCAUACUAUCUUCCACGUACAUUCAUAUUAACCAUCCUUGACCAUUCACAAACUCCAAACAACCUUAACAAUAUUUCCAACACCUCCUUGAAACCAAAACCAGAAGAAAACAUCAACAACUUUCAAAACAACAACCAAAGCACUAAUCAUACAUACAUUCAUAUUAACCAUUCACCAUUAACAAAAACAAUUUCCCCACAAUACAAACACAUCACCAUAAUCAUGAAACCAAAACAUAGAACACAAUAUCAAUUCCAGAAUAAUUACAACAACUCAGUUCAAAAGCAGAAAAUUAAAAAAAGGAGGAGAAAUGGAGGUUUCCUAUCAGUUGCAACCAACCCCCUUCGUCGGAAUCAUUUUGACGUUGCCAGACCACCUGCCCAUCCAAAGCGAGAAUGA